ACAAAAUUUGCACAAGCCAGGAAACAAGUAGCAAAGGAGUUUUGUUUUGGAGUUUUACAGGCUUUUUACAGUUUUUGCUCUCACAAAAUUUGCAAGGAGAUAAGAGGGAGGAAAUCACCAAAUCACUGAGCUAAAACAGGCUUUGUUCCCCUAAGAAAUACUAGCAAGAGAUGUUUGUGUUCAGAAGAUUUUUCCCCGAAUGAUACUCACCCUGAAAUGAGAUCUGAGCCUGAAUGUACCAAGCUCCCUAUUGAGUUUCCCAAGAUUUAUGUCAUCUACUCAUCACUGCAAGGACUUGGGGCAUGACCUUCACUGCGACUGUUCAGAGUCAAUUUUGGUCCUUCAAUACGCCUAUGUUAUAUCAUCCCAUACAUGUCUUUUUGUAGUGGGAUCCAUAUAUGACAAGUACAUUCUGAAGGCUGAUGAACAGAAGUAAUUGGCGUUCACAGAAAGGACUGCAACAGAGUACUCACAUAUAUAUGACAGAAGAGAAGGUGUAAAGGAUGUCCCAAC